GGAUGGCAGCUAGAGAUGAUGUUAUGUAUGCUCUUUUAUAUUUUGCCCCACAUAAGCAAGUGCUUAACUGCUGGUUAUUUGCUAUACUGAGUAUCAAAGAGCUGCAUUUUCUCCAAGGGACCUUCCUGGGAUCCUCAUUCACUUAAUCUUUCUUUGAAAGAGACCUGGGGCUUUCGGGGGCCUGGGUGGCUCAUUCAGGCUCCUCCCUGCACCCCACAGGACAUCCCUUUGGGAGCCCGUGUGUGCAGAAGACUAUGCUGAGCACUGAUGGGGGUAAAAGAUGGGAAUCCAGCUCAUUGUAAUCGCGGAUACCGUAAGCCAGCACCCCGCGGAGGGCUGUCCGUGUAGUGGCCCCUAAACUGUGACUCUGAGACAGAUGGCAGUGCAGGGCCCAGGACCAAGGACAGGUGGGAAACACAGAUGUGACAACCGUCCCUGCUGAAAUCUGAAACGUGGAUGGGCUGCUGUGGGAGCCUGCCCAGGGAGGGAAGAAGGCCACAGGCAGACGUUCCCAGGCAGCGAACAACGCUGAUGGCACAGGAGGAGGAGGGGAGGGAGAACCAGAGCACUGAAAAGAGACUGUUCAGGAGAGAAAUCUGGGACGUGCUGGUGAGGAGGACGCGUGGGGCGCUGGGGACCUGGGAGGGCAGUGGAAGGAAUAAACGGGUAACAACCACACAGGCACUACUCUCAGAAGCAGCAGGCAGAAAAGGGAAGGGAACAGUAACUCCGACCACUGGUGGAAGAGAGAGGCGUGGCAAGGACAAAGUAUUAGGAUAUCUGCAGACCGAGGAAAAGGGCAGAGUGGUGAGGUAACUCUAACAAUGCAGAGAGAAGAGUCUUUACUCAGAGGUGGGGCACCUGGAGGUGCAGAACCAGACGAGGGCAGGGUGCAAGGAGAGGGCGGUGAGGAAGGCAGAAAAUACCCUGAGGUGCACACUCUGGGAAUCCACACCCUGAAGCGCUGUUCCCCUAUGGCCUACCAGCCUACCUCACUGGAAAUUGUCAUCUGUGCACGUAAGGCCCACACACAACACACUCACAACCUACCUCUGGUCCCUUCACACAUCACUUCUAUCAGUUUCCUACGCGAGAGUCCAACCAUACCCCUCCUCUCCCCAAUGCCCUUCCUCAUUCUGUGCCAUGGCAUCCACUGUCCCCCCAAACCAGGGGUAGCAAUCCCAAUCAACUGCCCGCCUCUCUCUCCAGCUGUCUAAAUCCACCCGUCUUUCCAGAAAGCCCUUUUCAAUCUCCCCAACAGGAUGAGACUCUCUUCACAUAACUGCCUGCCCUCUCUCCUCAAAACAAUCACGUUCUCUUUGUAUUUAUUUGUGUACUAGUCUUAUGCCCUAUUAGAUUUUAAGAUUCUUAAGAUGUGGAACUACUUCUCUGCACUCAAUCUCCUUGGCUUUUAGAGCCCUGUACACAGGGUAGAGAGUAAAUGUCUGUGAAUGAAUGCUUGACAUUCAGCUUUGGAGGCACUGCCUUAAAUACAGCUCGCUCUACUAAUCAAGUGAAAAAUAAAAAUAAAUAAAUAAAAAUAAAGAUGAAAUGUUUAAAGCUUUACAAUGGGAAGCUCUCGGGCAGGAAAAAAAAAACAAAACGAGCUUGGGAUAUCUUGUGCCAGAAACAAGGAAGCACUCAAAGGCUAACGGGGGAGUAUCAGCAGGACACAGGAGCCGGCCGAAAGGAGCUCCCAUGGGCCGAACUCUGGAUCAUCUGAGUAUCAACAUCUGAUACUGCAUAUUGCGACACAUUUUGAGAAACUGAAUCUAAUGGCAGCUCCUUCUACGAAUCCAGGAUGGCUAUAACCAUGAAAACAAUUGCAAUGGAACAUCAGCCAAAAACUGUCCUGGCUCCAAGAUCUCCAAGUCUUCAUAGAUUUAUUCAGAGUAUAAUAAUUUUAUACAGCAUUUCAGAAAUAGUGUACUUUACCUUGGGAGGAAGUGUAUGGUUCCGUAUAAUGUCCAUUAUAAUGCAGCUGGGGUUGGGGAGGCAUCACAUAGGACUGGGGCUUAGGCUAAGGAAUGGAAAGUUGGAAACAGAGUUAAAAUACAUCGCUACCUAUGUAAUACAUGUAAAGUAAGUCUCCGCUGGUUUCUUUCUUUCCAUUAAAAAACUUCUAAGGAAGUUAAAUAUAUUAUAUAGAAAAUACACAUGGAGACCCUGUAGCUCUUACCAUAUUUAUCACUUUUAGUGUCUCCCAGAAUGACAAUGCCAAGCCCUGUACAGUGGUGUCAGACAUCAGAGAUCACAAGAAGACAAGCUGUAUCCAAAAAGUUAAGAGCAAGAAGGAACAAAAUUUCCUGAAUUCUUAUAUAAACAUGUGAAUAUAAAAAGCCUUUAUAUAGUAUAUUUGAUCUUCUCAGGCAAAAUUAGCUAGUAUUUUAAAGAUCUACUAACUUCUGAUUACUCUUUGCUAAUA